rnacentral:rRNA from 1 species
AUUGAACGCUGGCGGCAGGCCUAACACAUGCAAGUCGAGCGGAUGAAGGGAGCUUGCUCCUGGAUUCAGCGGCGGACGGGUGAGUAAUGCCUAGGAAUCUGCCUGGUAGUGGGGGAUAACGUCCGGAAACGGGCGCUAAUACCGCAUACGUCCUGAGGGAGAAAGUGGGGGAUCCUCGGACCUCACGCUAUCAGAUGAGCCUAGGUCGGAUUAGCUAGUUGGUGGGGUAAAGGCCUACCAAGGCGACGAUCCGUAACUGGUCUGAGAGGAUGAUCAGUCACACUGGAACUGAGACACGGUCCAGACUCCUACGGGAGGCGGCAGUGGGGAAUAUUGGACAAUGGGCGAAAGCCUGAUCCAGCCAUGCCGCGUGUGUGAAGAAGGUCUUCGGAUUGUAAAGCACUUUAAGUUGGGAGGAAGGGCAGUAAGUUAAUACCUUGCUGUUUUGACGUCACCAACAGAAUAAGCACCGGCUAACUUCGUG